AAGUCGUAACAAGGUUUCCGUAGGUGAACCUGCGGAAGGAUCAUUAACACGUAUCCACGUAUCAACCCCAUUGUGCUUUUUGUUGGACUGAUGGAUCGACCACGCGAAGAACGGGCUGGGCUCGGAAGGGAACGGAUGGUGUGGGGGCGCAAGCUUUCCCAUAGUUCCUGACCAGGGUAGUCCAACCGUUUGUGAUCGGUUCUCAAUGCCUACGUCACCAUUCGACUGGCAUCUUUUUUUUAACUUUAUUCACCCCUUUGAAACAUUCUUGCUGAUCGAAUUUGAUGUUUCGGGCCCCCUUGAUUGGGGUGUUCUGAAGAAUCAAUAUUACGAAAUGCUUGACAACUCUUAGCAACGGAUAUCUUGGUUCUC
rnacentral:misc_RNA from 1 species